GGUGCAGUUAACCAUGGCUCUCCAACAGUUUGUGUGCUGCUUCACUGUGGUGAUCAUUUUCUUCUGCAAAGGUUGUCACUCACAGCAGCCCACAUGUGGCAGAAGUGCUGUGAACAGCAGCAGCAUCACAGGAG